rnacentral:rRNA from 1 species
AGUGAACGCUGGCGGUAGGCCUAACACAUGCAAGUCGAACGGCAGCACAGUAAGAGCUUGCUCUUACGGGUGGCGAGUGGCGGACGGGUGAGGAAUACAUCGGAAUCUACUUUUUCGUGGGGGAUAACGUAGGGAAACUUACGCUAAUACCGCAUACGACCUACGGGUGAAAGCAGGGGAUCUUCGGACCUUGCGCGAUUGAAUGAGCCGAUGUCGGAUUAGCUAGUUGGCGGGGUAAAGGCCCACCAAGGCGACGAUCCGUAGCUGGUCUGAGAGGAUGAGCAGCCACAGUGGAACUGGAACAAGGUCCAGAAUCCUACGGGAGGGAGCAGUGGGGAAUAUUGGACAAUGGGCGGAAACCUGAUCCAGCCAUACCGGGUGGGUGAAGAAGGCCUUCGGGUUGUAAAGCCCUUUUGUUGGGAAAAAAAAGCAGCAGGUUAAUACCCCGCUGUUCUGACGGUAACCAAAGAAUAAGCACCGGCUAACUUCGUG